GGSUGAGKMACGCGUGGGGAUCUAUCCAUGGGUGGSGGAARCUCCGGGAAACUGGUGCUAAUACAGCAUGAUAGCUGACCUCUGAGCCGCAAGGGGUCRCUUGAGGAAUCUGCGUUCGAUUAGCUAGUUGGUGGGGUAAAGGCCUACCAAGGGAUGAUCGAUAGCUGGUUUGAGAGGRUGAUCAGCCACACUGGGACUGAGACACGGCCCAGACUCCUACGGGAGGCAGCAGUGGGGAAUAUUGGACAAUGGGCGAAAGCYKGUCCWGCCAUGCCGCGUGUGURAGGRAGGGCUUCGGAUUGCAAAGGAKCUUUCKAYGGGGACGAUGRURACUGGACCCG
rnacentral:rRNA from 1 species